rnacentral:rRNA from 1 species
UUGGAGGGCAAGUCUGGUGCCAGCAGCCGCGGUAAUUCCAGCUCCAAUAGCGUAUAUUAAAGUUGUUGCAGUUAAAAAGCUCGUAGUUGAAUUUCGGGGUCAAUAAGUUGGUCGUGCCAAUGGUAUGCACUGGCUUUAUUGAUUCCUACCUCUUGACGAACUGUGAUGCCAUUAAUUUGGUGUCGCAGGAAAUCAGGACUGUUACCUUGAAAAAUUAGAGUGUUUAAAGCAGGCUUACGCUUGAAUACAUUAGCAUGGAAUAAUGAAAUAGGACGUUUGAUCCUAUUUUGUUGGUUUCUAGGAUUGACGUAAUGAUUAAUAGGGAUAGUUGGGGGCAUUAGUAUUCAAUUGUCAGAGGUGAAAUUCUUGGAUUUAUUGAAGACUAACUACUGCGAAAGCAUUUGCCAAGGAUGUUUUCAUUAAUCAAGAACGAAAGUUAGGGGAUCGAAGACGAUCAGAUACCGUCGUAGUCUUAACCAUAAACUAUGCCGACUAGGGAUCGGAUGAUGUUAAUUUUUAAUGACUCAUUCGGC